UUUGCAGGUUGCGGUGCAAGUGGAGGGCGGUGCUGACAAAGGUGGCAGAGGUGGUGGCAGACCUAGAGGAGUUAGGUACAGCACGGGCUAGGGUUUCUUUUGUUUUUUUUUUGUUUUUUUGGGUAUUGGGUUAAUUUGGCUUGAAUUGGGAAAUUUUGGUUUUGGGUAUGUCUAGUUUUUGUUAGGUUUUUUAAUUGGUUGUAUUGGGUUUUAUUUUUUUUAUAGGCCCUUGGCAAGAUUGGCCUACAAUAGCUGUCCCUCUUUGCUCAUUAUCGUGUAACGAAAAUGGGGCAAAAAAUUUUGAAGGGUCAAUUUUGCCUGGUCUUGCCGAGUCUUGACUUCUUUGGGUGCUUA
rnacentral:lncRNA from 1 species